AUGCAUUAAAUUUCGCCUUACAAAGAAAAUGGACCUUGUGCGACAAUUUUAGUGCUGAGAUUCAUGACCACUUGAACAGAGGCGGCUCAAUAAUUUCCGUAGACAACCGAAAAUAAUAAACAAUAGAUUGAGACCAUGGGAUUGUGGCAUGUUCUGAACGGGUUUUUAUUCAUGGUCUCACCGAAAAAUAAAAUAAAAUAAAAACGAUGCUGGAGGUCCAGGUGGUCACUUGCGUGAUCGGGGAAGCCCAUACUGAAUCACGUGACGGCGGAGCGCCACCUCCUUCGUCCUUCCUCUCCUCCCCGCCAAAGCCCAAACCGCCAUGAAAGCAACGCUUCGCUUGCCACUGUUUGUACGGAAAUUGCGACCUUUCCCUUCUUCAAUGGCAACCGGAGCCGUUUGGAUUCUCGAGUAGAGUCUGCAUUUGGGAAGCUGAAUAUCUAUGGACAGCACCGAGAGGAGAUUGGAAGUACGAGCCCCUAACUGGCGAAUCGAUCACUGUCUCGAUUUCGGUCUACAAAACCAUUGUUGAAGCAGACGUUCCCUCUCGCUGCGAAGUAUCCCAACUUCAACCUCUGUCACAAGCGUAAAAUGCAAGUAAUAUAAGCAAAUUCAAAUCAGUCAAAGAUGUGGUCAACCUUUUGAGAGAAAGAGAUACUCCAGCAAAAAGUGUCAAAGGAAGUGAUCCAGCAGGAACCAGGUAUGAAGUGAGCAGCUGGGUGGAAGGAGGGAAACUUCAGCUUCAAAUUCAAGAAACAAAGUUAACAAACUGUGUCGUGUAGGCAUCCAUUAUAACAUCUAUGUGUUUCUUUGCAUAUGGACGUCAUUACGAGUAAAUUCUAUCUCUACUGGAUGUGCAGUGAAAUAACUAUAUUUUAUGGUAGCAUUCCAAUGAUUAUUUUUCUAAUGGAAAA